rnacentral:misc_RNA from 1 species
AUGGAGCUGCGCGAGAUGAGCGUCGCGACCGCAGACGAGACCGCGGAGCUCCUGCCGUCCCGGCGCGACGACAACGAGAGCUACUUCAUCGAAUACGCCAUUCAGAAGGAGAUUAUUAACCGCAACCGAUGCUCGGCCAGUCGGCGUCUCCUCCUCAGCCAGACCGCCGCUCAACUGGCGGACUAUAACCUCGCGAACAGCAAUCACCAGAAGGACUCGCCAAUUAUUAGCAUCAUCCAUCCUUCUGGCCCUAACUGGCCACCCUCGAGGAAAAGGGAAGAAGCUAGAGCCCUCGAGAAUUUGAGGAAGAGGGUCGAACAGUCCAAGCUCUGCAAAGUGAAUCCGAUCUCGGAUCCUGGAGGAUCUUCUUCGGCAAUGAUGAAUACUGCUCAACUUCAGCAACUGGACAACCGACCGAAACUCCUGAAGAAGAUUCUCAGCAACAAACCGAUGAGCAUAGCGCACGAUAGCAGCGACCUGGAAACGGACUGGAGGGACAGCGAGUUCAUCACGGAGUGCCUUUGCUGGCACAAUGUCUAUCGACAGCGACACAAUGCCCCACCUUUGACAAUGUCCCCGCAGUUGUGUGAAUAUGCGCAAACCUGGGCGAAUCAUCUGGCGCAUACCAAUACGUUUUACUACCGGAACGAUCGAGAGGUGGGCCAGAAUUUAUACUGUCGACCUGGCGGGGCUGUUCCUGGCGAUGUCCCUGGACAGGAUGUCGCUGCAUAUUGGUACUCCGCGGUCAGGCAGUACGACUUCUUCAAGGAGCCGGAUGUCCUGCACGCGAACGUUAAUGCAGGUCACUUCACGCAGCUCAUAUGGGCGAGCAGCCGGUACUUCGGAGUCGGGAAGGCGCGCAGCCGGAGUGGCAAGAUCAUCGUGGUGGCCAAUUACGAGCCGGUCGGCAACGUCUCGGGCCAAUUCCAAUGCAACGUUCUGCCGCCCUUGCCGGACUGCGCGAACCUCCCGCUCCCAUCGCCCCCGAGGAUUCGGCAGAACGACGCGCCCGAGCACUUAGACGCUUCCACCGACAGCAACAGUUCCAUAAGCACGCAAUAAUACAGACGGGUCACCUGCCUGUGCUGCGUCUGCACGAGGUGGGCGCAGAGGCGACGGGCUCAUUGCGCGAGGCAGCUGUUAAAAUGGCACCGAUAUUCCAAAAUCACGAGGAGAGGUGUGUGGGUUUCACGUCGGUGAUAAUCGAGUCGAGGCUGACCUUUGAUUCAUAUGUUGCGCCCCUUUAGAGCGCAUGUCGUGCAUUGAACGUGGUACAUACCUACGGCGUGAGUAUUUGUAGACUGCUUUUUGAUUUAUUUUUUUGUAAUUCGAGAAGCCUUACACCUUGGGCGGGCCAUUAGUUAGGAAGAGUCUUUGACAUCGACGCGAAGAUACGUAAUUUUCUACGACGAGAAAAAGAAAAGAAAAAUUCGCCAGAGUCGAGAAUAAUAUUGCAUUGGGUGGGUCAAGGUUCACCAAAUGUCUCCAGUCCUGCGUUCUAUUUCAGCGAUUUUCAAGUGAAAUUUCUUUUAGUACGAUAAAUACGUGUAAUCUUGCAUGUCAUGAAACUGAAAUGUUUUUUUUAAAGUUAAUUAUUAUUUACAAUUAUGUUUCAAUUCUGUCACUUUUGGUCCUGACAAAAUUUCCGAAAUUUUUAUAUUUCAAGUUCACUGCACUUUACAUCCUUUGUGUUUUAAUAUCGGGACAAUUUGCGUUAAUGUUUUCAUUAGCAUCGGUGCUCCAUUUUCUCUUGGUUAAUAUUUAAAUUUUAGUAAAAAUAACAGGGAUAAGAAAUGAAAACAAUCAUGGCUAAAACAAGUAGUAUGGAAGGGUAUAUCGUGAAUUAUUAAGACUAAUUAUUGGUAUCCAGUCAUUUUUUAAAAAUUUAUUUUCACGUAGUGAUUUUUUUUUCCGUGCAAUAUCGAUAUAUUUUUUUCAUUCGACAAAAGCAUGGUUGUUCACAUGGUUCGCAUGGUUGGUGACAAUUUUCUACCCAAUGAAAUAUGGUUCGCGACGACAGUAAACCUAGGGAAUGGGAAAAACAUGUCCUUAAAGCUCUUCCGAAAACAAACGAAAAUUAAAAGAAACCCGAACUGGCGAAACUACAAUCAGAAACGUCAUCAAGGUAUGAAAAGCUGCUCAGAAGUUUUAUGUACCUAACUAUAAAGUAGGAAAUAACGACGUCGCGACAUCGAAAUCGCACAAAAUGCGAGCGACGAGACGCGUUGCCUAUGAAAACAGAUACUAAUUUGAUAUAUAAGCGUAGUAUCGAGGUAGAAAGAGCAAACGGUGAAAACGAACCGAAGAGGGGGUUUGCAAUCUCGGCGAUAUUCAGCAUUGAAAAUUUCAAUGCAAGGUCGACUCACGAGGGUCGAGCUUAUCGUUCCAGACCUUUGCCCAGGCUUCGUGCGAACCAAAAAUAGGAGGAUUAAUUUGCAUUCAAUGAAUACCAUUAAACCGUAAAUAUAACUCAACAGCUGGUUACGCGAUUAGAUAUUUUAGUUUACGAAUUAAUUGAUGAAAUCUUCGCAAUUAAGAGUACCCGAGUCGAAAUUUCAGCCGCACUAAAUAAUUCGUUCAACCUUGCACGUUUGCACAAAUCUUGUUUAUUUACCUCAGACUAGAACCAAGGACACAUUUUUUUUUUUUAAUGAAAUAUCGUGAGCAUCACGUUCUUUCUUAGGAUCUCCACGCGCUGAAAUGUCAAAUUCGAUGCAUCUAAUUUGGAGAAAAGUUUCAUAAAUAUUUUGACGUUUUGAUAUAUAGAAUGACCCUUUCAUAACACUUAAAUAUUUUUCAUUUUCUGAGUGAUUAACCCCUCGACUAGUUUAACCUAGUAGUUUAACAAAUUGCUUACUCAGCUGUGAAACCACUCACUGAAUGCAAAUGCGUCCAUCGUCAACGUGGUCGUUGGGUCUGGACUAGGAAUAGUUUAGUUAAGCUAAGAAGCCGUGCCUAUAAUUGUAAGUUUUUAUGACCGUUUGCUAAAUGUUGUUUGGAAGCGUGCAAAGGGAUUUUUAUGAAUGUUCGGUGCUUAGUUGGAGAGCGAAAUACCCUAAUGUGCACCUGGCCUCGGUGUUGCACAUGCACGGCGUCAAAUGCAAUGUCGAGCACGUAAUGCGGUUUCCGGGAGCGUAAAUAAUGGACGCGCGAGUGCAGGGCCGCUAAAAGGUUCAUUAUGAGAAUCAGACUGGCCGCGAUAAGCGCCGGGCUCGUUUUCAAAUGCGAAAUAACACGUCAAUCAUCGCAGCUAUACGUGUGCCAGGCUGCGGAAAAUCUGGCAUACGUGUGCUGAGAAUUCCUUUGUCGAUUUGCCGACAAAAGGUCUUCUCCAGGCUUCAAUUCUUUCCCACCGAACGGGUGCAACUGUUCGGAUAGGGAAAAUCGAAUUACAUGGUAAACUAUACCGAACGUUGCAAAUUCAACUAUGUCGCUACUGAGAGUCGAAUGGUUUAAGUGAUCAAUUUUGAUCGUACUGUCAUUAAGUUUUCUUUAAAGGAGAAUGGAAAAAUCAGGAGAGAUUAUUUAGGAACUGACAUGUUUUGACGAAGAAAAGGAAAUUCAGAGACUAGUAAAUAGAACGAUAUUAGAAAUCACUUUUUCAUUGCUUUUUGCGGAUCAAUUGUUGAUAUCUUUUGGAUAAUCAUUUUCGUUAUAGCUUUUAAAAUUAUGUGAACUUUUUAUUUUCGACUUGCCGUUCUGCUGGAAUCAGGUACCAUGCGGAAAAGAAAUCAGAAGUCGCUAGUCUCUACAAGACCGCCAUUUUGAAAUGUUUCAAUUUUUUUUUGUCUAGAACUCAAUGUAAAGCAUCGAGUAAAAUAGUAAUAGUCUCCAUACCUUUUCAUUUUCUUUUAAGCUCACUCUAAUUAAAACACAUUUCACAAUUUACUAAUCCUUUUAAAAGAGCAUGGGUUAAAAGUACUUAAAUGAAAGAGGUACUUUCGGCUGCAAUCACAUUUGGAUUAGAGUUACCUCGUUAAGUACAUUUGUAUUUGUUCGCCUUAGGGACGGCACGUUUAGUUGAGUUUGCAACGGACAAUGUCAAAUAAUUCACUCGAAACCGGAUGCAAAUGCUGCAUUAUUGCAUCGUCGCUAAUAUUGCGGAUGUUUCGAUGUGUCCUAUGCAAUGUUAGUACGCCGCAAUUGUUAUUGCUGUUAGGUAUGGCACAGACGAUGUAGCGCCUAGCGAAAGUGUGAUAUUACCGUGAGUACUUGAAGCGAACGAAAGCUUGUCCUUUUUCGUUUUUACCCCGUCUAUUUGGGAAGCUAAGGAUUAGCAUUCGACUGAUUUUUAACGUUUCGAUACCCCUUGUACGCAAAUUUGUAUACACGACUCGAAUCUAAGAUUUUAAGCGAGCAGAUGUCCUGAAAUUUGUUUAAACUGCGGCGAAUAGUUGCUUGAGCGCUGCAUAGACUUAAAUCUUAAGAUAACAUAAAAACUCCAGGAGACGUCAGUUAGGAUAAAAUUUUAACUGUUUCGAAUUCUCGCUAUCCAGUGUUUAGAAUGCCUAGACGAAAGCGAACGAGAAUGGGUCUGUUGCUGCACGUUUGCAAAACUUUAUAUGCAUCCUUAAUAUCUGUACAGCGAGCGUAGGUAUAAACGGAUUAAAUAAUGCUAACUUAUGCGCGAAUACUAGAUGACUAGUUAUAUAUAUACAUUAGGUGUACAGUAUUUAUUUUUUAAGAAGAAAAUGCCAAGUGAACAAAGUCACCUAGGAUGAGAUUAAACAAUUAAUUUAAAUAAUUGAUGGCUCGCUCCUACAUGUGGCCGUGAUAAGACCUACUUAAAAAAUUGCAGCAUUUCAAGUGCAUGCUGCGUUUCACUUAUAUAACUUAGCUGUUAAAAGUGGAUAAUUUUGUAAACUACGUUAACGGUGCAGUAUCCGAUCUCAUAGGAAAUCUUCUUCGGCAAUGUUUCACGGUUUCGACGUCUCUGUAUCACUCUAAAUUAAAUAGUAUUGCUUCGAUCUAUCGACUCCCUGAGAAUUUAGGCUCGAUGUUAAACUCUUACUCUAUCGUACAUAUACUGUAGUUGAUCCCAUUUUGUGGAAAAGGACUUUCAGCUCUUGUGAAUUAAUGAUUAGUAUUCAGCGAAGCGUUAGUUUCCUUCGACGGUCUCUGUCAUUACGCGCCUCAUACUGAUAAAAAUGCCCAAGUAAAUUUACAUACUCAAUAAUUGGUUAUUUCGAUGCAACAAUAAAUUGCAGUAAAAUUACGUUGCCUCUGUGAUAACACGCUCGGCAUGUAUGCUAAAUUAAAGAAAAUUAUAAUGAAACGUUAUGUUUAAUUCAAGUAAAAAUGCACUGAUACGAUAAAAAUACAAUGGUACGUGUAUUUAUACAUUUUAUAAUUUGUAAUUUUUCCAUUUUGCGCUUUUCUAUGCGAAACUUCAGUUACGGUGUGUAAAAAUGUAUGUAAAUUUCCAUCGAUUUUUAUCAGUGCACACGGCUAGAUGUCAAACCUAACGUGAGUCAAGUAAUCCAUCAAAUCCUAGAUGAAAAAGACGAACUCAUUAGUUAUCUAACGUAACGCGUAACUUGAAACACAUAGGUGCAAUUAAUUAAUUAGUUAAUUGAUGGUGUGGAACGUUAUCAAGCGAUCUUUACGUGUUUCGCGGCGCUGCCGUUCCAAGCCUUCCAGAGACAUGAGAGUCGCACCUUUUUACCGAGCUUCUCGCUUUUUCCUCUGUACACUGUUAAAAAUGUUUCGAUUUUUCGAACAUUUUCGAAUAUAAAUGUAUACUAAAACCAGAAACCUCGAAAAGAAAAUCGGACAAAUGUAUACACUGCAUUUCCUGGAACACAAUUUCUACGUAAGAACUCGUACAGAAUUCAAAAUUUGUUACAAAACAGAAAGAUGGGGAAAAAAUUCAGCAUAAGUAUUAAUAAAUAUACCAUAGCGCGUUUCUAUGAAAAUACACAAAAUUGUGUACGUAUAGGUGAUCGAAAAUCAGUAUACAAAAAUAUCCGAGUUUUCGUAUACAUGUCGUAUGACAGUUGCAGCUGUGACCGAAAAUUAGUAUAUAAAAGAUUUCGAAAUUUUGUAUACGUAUCUAAAAUUCGUAUACUUGUAAAAUUUCUAACAUAAUCGUUUACGAAAUUUUGAAAUAUUGCGUCUUGGAAUAACUUCGACUAUCUGUAUACUAUAUUUCGAAUACAUGUUUUUAACAGUGUACUUUUUCUAUCGGACUGCAACGUUAUCACUAAUGUAGAUUAUAAGCUCAGAGUUGCACGCGAAUCGCGCCGAAAUGAAAAUGCAACCAACGUACUCACUGGCUUUGCGUGGAGUUAUUAAAGAGCUAUUUCGGGGAGAAACGACAGCACGUAAUGGAGCUUUUUAUGUGUCGUCUUGGCCGAAGGUCCUGAAAAACUAAACGCUAUGUUGGAAAGAACUUUGUCAACGAUUAUUGAAGAGAUACGUGCAAUAAGGAUACGUGCGUAGCAUUUAGCGUGAAGUAUUACCUGUGUAGAGAGUUAUUAUAGUUAGUGGAUAAUAAUUAUUACGAUUAUUGCUAUCACGUUCGAAAUAGAAGACAAUGUUCGGUUAAUCAAAGCAUAUCACUGCAAUGUUAAAAAUCGUGCGCAUGGUAGACGAAAUGACUUUUCAUUAAUCUCGUUCCGUUGUUGUGUUAAAAUUAACAAUUUUUUUUCACGUUAGAUGUUGAUAGCGUUUAAGCGAUAUUGCCAUUGAUGCUGAUUUCACAUCUACUUGCUCCUUCCUAUAAACUCACUCUGAGGCGAUUAAAUAGCUCAUACUCUAAAAUUAUAUCUUUCGAAUACUGUGCAGUGACACUAAUUAUUCCUAGUUAAGAGUAUCGAUGAUAAAUCAGUGAACUAGGAGUCGCUCUGAUUACCGUAUUAUCUAACAGAAAGAAAUCCGCGGUGCUUUAAUUAGAUUCCCGAUCAUUUAAUGUAAGGAAUUAGGUAGAACAACGGUGAACGUUUAAAAUUGCGACUAAAAGUGACGGAAGCGAAAAUACAUUUUUAGACAAAGGGAAGGGCUGUGCGAAAAUGUACUUACAAGUACUUGUUAGUGGAACGCCCGAAGCACAUUUCACCUGAUUAUUUAAUUUAGUGUUACAAAAAUCUUAUUAUGUAUAUCUUGGGUUCAGGCUAGAUGAUUUCUAGUGGAUGUUUCAAAACGCUAUUGUGCUUGUGUAUUCUACUGGUCUGUGUGAAUCUAUUUCUUCUCUAACAACCGCAGAGGCAUCUCUGUGACAUUUUGCUUCAAUCUGAAACAAGUUUAAAAACGUUUCUACAAUCGUUACAUGUAGAUUAAGGAGAUAAUAGUAUUCCGAUGCUAGCGUAAUCACCGUUUUGGAAAUGUCAAAAUCGACAGUUCUCGUUGGUCGUCGUUGGUUGUUACCUUUUUUAAAUUGCUCGUUGAAUAUUUACUAUAAGAAGAAGAAUUAUAAAGUAUUUGCCGCGCAGAAUAUUUUUGUACAUUCAGUGGACGUAACUCGUUGACUAUAUUGUACUUUGAUAAACUUCCCGUGUUUUGAAAAAGCUUCCGUUUAAGUUUGUGGACGACAAAAACGUUUAGUGGAACGCCUUGAGAGUAAUGCAUCUUGUCGCAUCUUGAAAUUAAUAUGCUCUUUACGGCUAUCAUCAGAUAUGUAUAGAGGGAUCUAGAAAUAUCGAUGAACUGUGCGAGCGUAUAAUUUAUAACGAAUCUAAUAUAAUUCAAUCGUAUUGUUAUGCAUUGCAACAACGGCGUAACGAAUCCCGUGAUGGUCUCAAACGGACUGUGAUUGUUAAAUUCCAUUAAUGCAUUUGUGUGUCAGGGUAAAGCUAUUAUCGUUCAAAAGCGAGGUAAUGUGUUGCGAAUCAUUGUAGUCAACGAUUUAUACUUGUGUCUUUUGUCAUAUGGGCUUGAUACGUAGCAGUAAGUGCGUACAAAAAAAUGUGUACAUUGAAAUUACAUUUAAAUAACCGAGUAGGUCUAUACGUUUGUAUAAUUUACAGCUAGAUUUUGCUGUCGGAUAUGCGAACUCGGGACACUAAAAUAAUGUUACACGUAUCUGUGCAUACGAAAAGAAGUUCGAUGUUGACCCCACUCGGAACUAUUUGGUGUAACUAUAACCUGAAAUUGUUUGCGCUAUACGAGUAUCUGUGAACGCUAAAUUUGCAGGAGGAAACCAAUCCAUUUAUCGUAGAUCGCUAGAUACUCGAUGUUGCUAAUCGUUGAAAGUUUAUUUCAAUAAUGGAGUCGUUUCGUUUUUAAAUUGCUUAUUUAUUGCACGAUGAUUGUUAUGCUUCGUGGGUUUUGACGCUUGUGACGCUUAGAUGCCGGUGGACGGUAUUUUCAAUUAAUUCCUAUUAGUUAUAUAAUAUUUAUUAAUUUAUUGUUACUUGUAAUGCGCUUUUACGAGGCACUAUUUUGGAUUGCUUAUACAGCGUUUCGGAUGUACAACGAAAACCGGAGAGGCUCAAGGAAUAUAACAUUGCGAUCAAACGGCAAGUUUUGUCGUGUGUCCUCGGAGUUGAAUGUAAACAAAAGUGUAAAUUCAUACGUAUAGUUCUCUUAUUAUGAUUUCUCAUGGAGUCAGUCGCUUGUAACA